CAAUCUCCGGCAGACCCUCCCUCCCAGACCCUUCCACCUCCUGGACAGCAUCCAUGUUGAAGCUGCCUUCAACAUGGAUGCUGUCCAGGAGGUGGGAGGGUCUGGGAGGGAGGGUCUGCUGGAGAUUG